rnacentral:rRNA from 1 species
AAAGCCUGAAGCAGCAACGCCGCGUGAGUGAUGAAGGCCCUCGGGUAGUAAAGCUAUGUCAGAGGGGAAGAAACACCAGCCGGAUAAUAUCCGGCAGGCCUGACGGUACCCUCAAAGGAAGCACCGGCUAACUCCGUGCCAGCAGCCGCGGUAAUACGGAGGGUGCAAGCGUUGUUCGGAAUUAUUGGGCGUAAAGCGCGUGUAGGCGGUCUGUUAAGUCUGAUGUGAAAGCCCGGGGCUCAACCCCGGAAGUGCAUUGGAAACUGGCCGACUUGAGUACGGGAGAGGGUAGUGGAAUUUCGAGUGUAGGGGUGAAAUCCGUAGAUAUUCGAAGGAACACCGGUGGCGAAGGCGGCUACCUGGACCGAUACUGACGCUGAGACGCGAAAGCGUGGGGAGCAAACAGGAUUAGAUACCCUGGUAGUCCACGCCGU